rnacentral:lncRNA from 1 species
CAGUAGAGGGCUGUUCGAGAGCAUGCGCACAACCGCAGCAAGAGAACCUUAUUCCUCCUGUCACAACAUUGAGGGGCAAAACGACAGCCGUGUGGUCUCUGGCUUCUAAUAGAUCUGUGAAGACAUAGAAUGUGAUUGGAAUGGAAGCUCGGAGAAGGAGUCUCUGAUUGGCCGAAAGACUAGGCGGGUGCACAUACCAAACGCCGUGAAGAACUAUUGGAUAUCAGUGAGACGUCAGCUAACCAGCACUACGACCAGGAAUACGACUGUCCCAAAGCGGACCCUUUGCCUGCAUCUCCCAGGGCAUUUGAACUGAUUCCAGAGGCUGACCACAAAACAACGCCGUCGGAGGAGAGGGUGCCGGAGCGGUCUUCUAGUGAGGCUUCAGUUACACGCACACCACCCACCGCUUCCGAGUAUAUUACUCGCUAAUGUUCAAUCACUAGUUAACAAAGUUGACGGAAUUAGGGAAAGAGUUGCUUUACAAAGAGAUAUCCGGGAUUGUAACAUACUCUGUUUUUCACGGAGACAUGGCUAGCUGGGGACAUGCUGUUGGAGUCUGUACAGCCAACAGGAUUUUCAGUCCAUCGUGCCGACAGGAACAAACAUCUCUCUGGUAAGAAGAAGGGCGGGGGUGUAUGUUUCAUGAUUAACAACUCAUAGUGUAAUUGUAACAACAUGCAUGAACUCAAGUCCUUUUGUUCACCUGACCUAGAAUUCCUCACAAUCAAAUACCGACCGUAUUAUAUCCGCCUCGGUUAUCGUCACAGCCGUGUAUAUUCCCCCCGCAAGAUGCUACCAAGACGGCCAUCAAGGAACUUGAUUGGACUUUAUGCAAACUGGGAACCAUAUAUCCCGAGGCUGCAUUUAUUGUAGCUGGUAAUUUUAACAAAGCUAAUCUGAGAACAAGGCUACCUAAAUUCUAUCAGCAUAUUGAUUGCAGUACAUGAGCGAGUAGCACACUCGACUACUCUAACUUCCGUGAUGCAUACAAGGCCCUCCCCCGCCCUCCUUUUGGCAAAUCUGACCAUGACUCCAUCUAGUUGCUCCCCUCAUACAGGCAGAAACUAAAACGGGAAGCACCCGUGCUUAGGUCUACCCAAUGCUGGUCUGACCAAUUGGAUUCCACGCUUCAAGAUUGCUUCAAUCACGUGGACUGGGAUAUGUUCCGGGUAGCCUCAGACAAUAACAUUGACGUAUACGCUGACUUGGUGAGCAAGUUUUUAAGGAAGUGUAUAGGAGAUGUUGUACCCACUGUGACUAUUAAAACCUUCCCUAAUCAGAAACUGUGGAUUUAUGGCAGCAUUUGCACAAAACUGAAUGCACGUACCACCGCAUUUAAUCAUGGCAAUGUGACUGGAAACAUGACCGAAUACAAACAGUGUAGUUAUUCCCUCAGUAAGGCAAUCAAACUAGCAAAGCGUCAGUAUAGAGACAAAGUGGAGUCGCAAUUCAACGGCUCAAACACGAGACGUAUGUGGUAGGGUCUACAGACAAUCACGGAUUGCAAAAAGAAAACCAUCGACGUCUUGCUCCCAG